UUAAAACUGUUAAGAUAUGUUUUCUGCUCACAUUUUCUGUUUGACCCUUGGUUGGAAUUAAACAAUUUUUUUCAAAAAGAACCAAAAUUUCUAAAAUUUCUUUUCUUGCACUGCACACACCUCUCUCUCUCUCUCUGCAUCUGCUCUAUUCAGUGAGUGGCCUCGUGCCCACAACAGUUUAUAAAGCAUACUCAAAUGCAGAUGAGUGCGGACGGACGAGCUCCACACAUGCGCAGUACGAUCUACUUCCUGAAUCUACUAUUGUACGCAGAACAUUCACGCGGUCUCAAAAACUGCCUGCAUGCAGAUGAGGUGCGGGGCUAUCCGCGAGCCCUCCUGAUAACAAAAAUCACAUAAUGCAGACGGUGCACAAACGCUCACUGCCAAAGUACACCUGGGCCUUCUAAGUUAAGAAUUUGCAAAUUGUAUAUAAUGAGCUUGUAUAUCCUGAAUUCAUCUUCCAUAUUUUAUUAUAUAUUUAUAUGAUAUAUAUGUUUUUUAGUCAAUCUGUCUAACUAGUGUUCUUUUUGAAGUUCGAUAUUACAGGUGAUCGUGUAUCUGCACAUUCAACAAGUGACACGUGAGAGAGUGAGUACGCGCUUUGCGCGCACCCUUAAAUAGCCUGCCGUUGAAAAAAAACGUUUUUUUCAAAAACACGGCUGAAUGAAAUUACAAACAAUCAAAACUAAAUUCCACGUCGGCGAAUCGUCAGUAAACAAGCAGAUGGACAGGUGCACAGAGAGACCUCUGUGAAAGAAGCUUCAAUUAAAGAGUUAUACGAUGUUUUAGUGUAAUCAGGUCACUCUCUCCUCCGCACCCGGUCGAGCAAGAGUGGAGACACAAUCAAACAACACAGUCCACGAGGAAGAACGGCAAUAUAAAAUCGACUUCUUGUUACCACUACGCGGAAAUGAUGCAGGUUCCAAGGAUGAUAAAUGUGAGGGACACAGAAGUCCCCAUCUUGGACGUGGGGAUAAAAAGCGGCUCCAGAGUCCUUGAGGUGUCGUUAUGGCGGGACCAGGCCUUGUCCAAACUUAAAAUGAAUGACACCGUACUCAUUUCUCACCUUCGAGCAAGCGCCAGGGCCACAAACUUCAGCUCAACCAUCCACACAACUGUGGAGGUACCAAGGAUCAGUGGCGGAGGCAAUGGUGGUGAUUGGCUUGUCCGAAGCGUUUGGUGAGGUCUCCUUGCUCUUCAGCGAGUACACACAGCUCCUGAGUGAGUGUUGAAGAUCUGCUGUGCCAGAUCACACUUCAUUUGGAAGUAGUACAUGAACAUAGAAAAAUUGAAAAAAUGUAUUAUGUUGAUUAAAUGUACAUUUUUUAGUUGUGUGAAAUAGUUCUUUUACCUGUAAUUGUUUGUUUUAUUCUAUAUUAUUAUAAUAUUAUAUAUUAUAUUGUUCUUUAUAGAUUGUUUAUUUAUUGAUAUAGAUAGUAUUACUUUGUUUAUCUAACAUUAUUUUCAAUUUAUCCUAUUGUUAUUCAAUUUAAAGUGAUUUAUUCUGUUUGUGUUCAAGUGAAUUUUAAUACA